AUUGAACGCUAACGGCGUGCUUAACACAUGCAAGUCGAGCGGCAGCAUGACUGUAGCAAUACAGUUGAUGGCGAGCGGCGGACGGGUGAGUAAUGCAUAGGAAUCUGCCUUGUAGUGGGGGAUAACCCGGGGAAACUCGGGCUAAUACCGCAUAAUCUCUACGGAGCAAAGUGGGGGACCUUCGGGCCCUACGCUAAAAGAUGAGCCUAUGUUGGAUUAGCUAGUUGGUAGGGUAAAGGCCUACCAAGGCAACGAUCCACAGCUGGUCUGAGAGGAUGAUCAGCCACACUGGGACUGAGACACGGCCCAGACUCCUACGGGAGGCAGCAGUGGGGAAUAUUGGACAAUGGGCGAAAGCCUGAUCCAGCAACGCCGUGUGUGUGAAGAAGGCCUUCGGGUUGUAAAGCACUUUUAGUGGGGAAGAAAAGUUCAUGGCUAAUAUCCAUGAAUGCUGACGUUACCCACAGAAAAAGCACUGGCUAACUCUGUGCCAGCAGCCGCGGUAA
rnacentral:rRNA from 1 species